CCUACGGGAGGCUGCAGUGAGGAAUAUUGGUCAAUGGACGAGAGUCUGAACCAGCCAAGUAGCGUGAAGGAUGACUGCCCUAUGGGUUGUAAACUUCUUUUAUAUGGGAAUAAAACAGGGUAUGCAUACCCUCUUGUAUGUACCAUAUGUAUAAGGAUCGGCUAACUCCGUGCCAGCAGCCGCGGUAAUACGGAGGAUCCGAGCGUUAUCCGGAUUUAUUGGGUUUAAAGGGAGCGUAGGUUGAUUGUUAAGUAAGUUGUGAAAGUUUGCGGCUCAACCGUAAAAUUGCAGUUGAAACUGGCAGUCGUGAGUACAGUAGAGGUGGGCGGAAUUCGUGGUGUAGCGGUGAAAUGCUUAGAUAUCACGAAGAACUCCGAUUGCGAAGGGAGCUCACUGGACUGCCACUGACAUUGAUGCUCGAAAGUGUGGGUAUCAAACAGGAUUAGAUAACCGGGUAGUC
rnacentral:rRNA from 1 species